rnacentral:rRNA from 1 species
UAGGGAAUAUUGCGCAAUGGGGGAAACCCUGACGCAGCAACGCCGCGUGAGUGAGGAAGGUCUUCGGAUUGUAAAACUCUUUUCUUAGGGAAAAAUGGUCAUGGAGCUAAUACCCCAUGAUUUGAUGGUACCUAAGGAAUAAGCACCGGCUAACUUCGUGCCAGCAGCCGCGGUAAUACGAAGGGUGCAAGCGUUAUUCGGAAUCAUUGGGCGUAAAGCGCGCGCAGGCGGAUUAAUAAGUCAGGUGUGAAAUCUCGAAGCUCAACUUCGAAACUGCGCCUGAAACUAUUAGUCUAGAGUGUCGGAGGGGGUAGGGGAAUUUCACGUGUAGGGGUAAAAUCCGUAGAGAUGUGAAGGAACACCGGAGGCGAAGGCGCCUACCUGGACGACUACUGACGCUGAGGCGCGAAAGCGUGGGGAGCAAACA